GAGUGGAAAUCAAUUUGGAUGAAAAUGACUCGCUAGAGUAAGAUAUACUAUAUAAUAGAGAUGUUCUGAUACCAGUAUCGGAAAAGCCUCCAAUACUGUCUGACUCUGGUAUCGGUAAGUACCGGAGUUUAUGCACUGAUCCGACACCACAUAAUUUAGCCCUGAAGAAAAUCCACUUUAAAGUAGUUUAUUUUAGUUCUUUUUCAGUUAUAACGGA